AUUGAACGCUGGCGGUAUGCUUAACACAUGCAAGUCGAACGGUAACACGAGGGAGUUUACUCUUUUGGUGACGAGUGGCGGACGGGUGAGUAAUAUAUAGGAACUUGCCCCAUAGUCUAGGAUAAGCUCUCGAAAGAGAGUCUAAUACUGGAUGUGGACUACGGUUUAAAGCAGGGGAUCUUCGGACCUUGCGCUAUGGGAUGGGCCUAUACAAGAUUAGCUAGUUGGUGAGGUAAGGGCUCACCAAGGCGACGAUCUUUAGCUGGUUUGAGAGGAUGAUCAGCCACACUGGGACUGAGACACGGCCCAGACUCCUACGGGAGGCAGCAGUGGGGAAUAUUGGACAAUGGGGGCAACCCUGAUCCAGCAAUACCGCGUGUGUGAAGAAGGCCCUAGGGUUGUAACGAACGACUUUACGUUUAGGGUAGGGAAGUAAGGUAAGUUUAAUUUACGUUUAACGUUAACCGUAACCGUUAAGUAAGUUACUUUCGUAGUUAGUUUAACCGUUUAAAACCGUAAAAGUAAAGUAACG
rnacentral:rRNA from 1 species